GUUGUGUCCAGAUAUGUGCCCUGGUAUGGCUCUCAAUUGCUCAGUCUAGAAGGAGUCUCAUAAUAGAAUGACGUCCAAUUGCAUCAUUUGAGUUUAUACGAAUUUUGAUUAAGAUGAGAUUUCCUUGUCAUUUGGCUGUGAGAAGAAACUGUUAUUCUGAAAGCUGAAGGAAUUUGAAUGUGCCUUACCCUGGGCAUUUAAUUUACUAGAAUCAGGAACAAA
rnacentral:misc_RNA from 1 species